rnacentral:rRNA from 1 species
AGAGUUUGAUCAUGGCUCAGGAUGAACGCUGGCGGCGUGCCUAACACAUGCAAGUCGAGCGGAGAUAAGUUGAAGCCUAGCGAUUCUUAUCUUAGCGGCGGAUGGGUGAGUAACACGUGGGUAACCUGCCCUGCACUGGGGAAUAACAGCUGGAAACGGCUGUUAAUGCCGCAUAUGCGCACGGAGCCGCAUGGCUUUGGGCGGAAAGAUUUAUCGGUGCAGGAUGGGCCCGCGCCGGAUUAACUAGUUGGCGGGGUAACGGCCCACCAAGGUGAUGAUCCGUAGCCGACCUGAGAGGGUGACCGGCCACAUUGGGACUGAGACACGGCCCAAACUCCUACGGGAGGCAGCAGUGGGGGAUAUUGCACAAUGGGGGAAACCCUGAAUGCAGCGACGCCGCGUGAAGGAUGAAGUAUUUCGGUAUGUAAACUUCUAUCAGCGGGGAAGAAGAUGACGGUACCCGACUAAGAAGCCCCGGCUAACUACGUGCCAGCAGCGGC